rfam:Ovis aries breed Texel chromosome 1, whole genome shotgun sequence.
GAUGAGGUGGCCAAGUGGUUAAGGUGACGCAUUGCUAACCCAUCGUGCUCUGUACAUGCGGGUUUGAAUCCCAUCCUCAUCG